CCUACGGGAGGCAGCAGUGGGGGAUAUUGUACAAUGGGGGAAACCCUGAUGCAGCGACGCCGCGUGGGUGAAGAAGCGCCUCGGCGCGUAAAGCCCUGUCAGCAGGGAAGAAAAUGACGGUAUCUGAAGAAGAAGCCCCGGCGAACUACGUGCCAGCCGCCGCGGUAAUACGGAGGGGGCAAGCGUGAUCCGGAUUUACUGGGUGUAAAGGGGGCGCAGACGGCGAUGCAAGCCAGGGGUGAAAGCCCGGGGCCCAACCCCGGGACUGCUCUUGGAACUGCGGGGCUAGAGUGCAGGAGGGGCAGGCGGAAUUCCUGGUGUAGCGGUGAAAUGCGUAGAUAUCAGGAGGAACACCGGUGGCGAAGGCGGCCUGCUGGACUGCAACUGACGUUGUGGCCCGAAAGCGUGGGGAGCAAACAGGAUUAGAUACCCCAGUAGUC
rnacentral:rRNA from 1 species